AUCUAAGUACCCCGAGGAAAAGAAAUCAACCGAGAUUCCCCCAGUAGCGGCGAGCGAACGGGGAGGAGCCCAGAGCCUGAAUCAGCAUGUGUGUUAGUGGAAGCGUCUGGAAAGGCGCGCGAUACAGGGUGACAGCCCCGUACACAAAAGCGCAUGUGUUGUGAGCUCGAUGAGUAGGGCGGGACACGUGGUAUCCUGUCUGAAUAUGGGGGGACCAUCCUCCAAGGCUAAAUACUCCUGACUGACCGAUAGUGAACCAGUACCGUGAGGGAAAGGCGAAAAGAACCCCGGCGAGGGGAGUGAAAAAGAACCUGAAACCGUGUACGUACAAGCAGUGGGAGCACCCUUUGGGGUGUGACUGCGUACCUUUUGUAUAAUGGGUCAGCGACUUAUAUUCUGUAGCAAGGUUAACCGUAUAGGGGAGCCGGAGGGAAACCGAGUCUUAACCGGGCGUUAAGUUGCAGGGUAUAGACCCGAAACCCGGUGAUCUAGCCAUGGGCAGGUUGAAGGUUGGGUAACACUAACUGGAGGACCGAACCGACUAAUGUUGAAAAAUUAGCGGAUGACCUGUGGCUGGGGGUGAAAGGCCAAUCAAACCGGGAGAUAGCUGGUUCUCCCCGAAAGCUAUUUAGGUAGCGCCUCGUGAACUCAUCUCCGGGGGUAGAGCACUGUUUCGGCUAGGGGGCCAUCCCGGCU
rnacentral:rRNA from 1 species